rnacentral:tRNA from 1 species
GCCCGGGUGGCGGAAUCGGUAUACGCAGAGGACUUAAAAUCCUCGGCUGUCAAAAGCUUGUGGGUUCGAGUCCCACCCCGGGCACAA